ensembl:lncRNA
GGGAGGGAGGGAGGGAGGGAGGGGGGAUUCGGGGGUGGAAGGAAAAGCGGGUCUUUCAGUGAAGGGAUGAUCAUUUCGUGUACAGUUGCACACAGCUGACCACAUGCUUUUUUUUUUUUCCUUUUCUUUUUCUUUUCUAUGCUAGUAAACACUGUGGCCAGUAAGGAGACGUCAUUUUAAAAUCUCCGUUCGACUUCUGAGUGACACGUUUUUUGCGCUUCUCAGCUAAUUCCUCCUCUCGUUAGAUUAACAUCACCUUCUUCCUCAUCGUCAUCGUAUGCAUAGUGUCGGUGCCAUUAAAGAUGUCCGCUUCCUGAAUCAUUGUAGAUCUGCGGCCACCUGUUUGGCCAGUCAAGUUCUCGUAGCUCAGUUUGAUGUUCUAAUAUGUGUCUGGUGGCGUGGUUUUUUUGAUUUGUUUUUGUUUUUUUUUUAUUUGUGGAAAUUGGAUUUGUGGAAUUUUUUGAUGUUUUAUUUUCUUAUGUCCUUUUACCUUCUUUCCCCUGGUUCUAUCUGUUACCACAGACUGUCUAAUAUCCCUAAUUUAUUAUUUAUCCUUAUUUCAAAAUUUGCCCUUUUCAAGUCGCUGAUGUGUAUCGUACGCUGUUGAGUCAGAGAUUAUGUGCAGCAUGUUUUUGUUGUUUUUGUUUGUUUGUUUGUUUGUUUGUUUGUUUUGUUUUUUUCCCCCCCUGGUAUAAGCAAUGAAUUAUUUCUACUUGUGGUCCUUUUUAUAAACAUAACCAUAGCUUUUUAAUUUAUACAAAUUCUUCUCUCACACCCUAACAUAUUUCAGAAGACAAAAAAAAAAGAUGGAAAAAAAUUCAGAUGAAUUGUUGAUACCAAACAAUUUAGAUGUUUUUUGGUAAUAUUUUGUGUGAUGACUGAUUUUUUUUUUUUCUUUGAUAUUUUCUAGUGGCAUCUCAUUUGUAAAUCUUUUUCUAAGAUGUUUCUUUGUGUUCAUGACAUUUAAAAAAAAGUUUUGGGUUUUUUUUGGCCAGGUUAGCCUGAAAGGCUCCAGUUUAUUGAUAUUUUUAAAAAAUAACUUUGUACAAAUGUGUUAUGUUAAUGGGUAAAAAAAAAAAAGGACAAAAAAGAGAAAGAUCUUUGCCUGCAUAACACUUGAAAUUAAAAGUGAAUAAAUCGGUCUUAAUUAUACCGUGUAUGAUUGUUACCGUAUUUUGAGAACGUCAAAAUACAACGUAUUGACAACGUAAUCUCUAUUUAUUGUACGUGUUAUGUGUAUGAUUACCACAGACAAGACUUUCAACACAAUUCCAUGUACUUUCUGCAUUUAAGGUUAUAGAAAAAAAAAGCUGACUAAAUUCAAAUAAAAUUCACUCAAUAAAAAAAUUUUUAGUUCACCUCAGCAGAAAGAACCCAGUUGGUUUGGGCCGAUUUCAUGAAGGUGGAUUCACAAUUCCCAGACGUGAGCCAAUAGAAAAGAAGUGGGCGGGACUGUGAUCUUUUUGUUCGAUAAAAAAUCGAGAAGCUGCUUAUGAUUAAGUAGCGCUUACACCACACUUUCUCCUCGUUGUUUUCGUCCUGCUUGGAGCACAUCUGGAAAAAAAAGUUAGCUGUCUUGUCCUCCAACACACUCUAGGGUUUUUGUACUUUUUUUUAUUUGUUUGUUUUUGUUUUCUCUCUGCCUGCUAGGAUUUUCUGUAACCAUAAAGUUCUAGAGAUGCUAGAGAAGUUGUUUAUAGUUUUAUCCAACUUUUCAACACUGGCUCGGCGUGGUAAAAGGUUACUUCACGGAUCAACGAGGGUUUUAUUGUAAGACGUAAACAAAAAUAUUUCCCUCUGAAACAGCGGUCUCGUUCCUGCAGCAAUGAAUUAUACAGACACUUAAUGCUCAUACACGUUUGGAUGAAAACUGGAGGAAGGAAUUCUUUAAGGAAUUCGUUUUUAAACAAGAUCCUAAAUGGAAAAUUUUUACUAAAGUGUAUAGAAUUACCAACCAGGGAAAUUUAGACACAAAAGCCCAAAGUUUUUUGGGGGGUCGCCCCCCCCCUUUAAAGUUACAAACAUUCAGUAUGAGCCGUCGAGAAUCCAGGUGAUAAUCCUAAUGCAUUCGUGUACACUACAACAAACACUAUCCACACCGUUACUUACAAUAGCAGACGUGAUCGUUGCCUUGAGAUCUUCAGUGUCUGUCACCCGAGUGGUCUACACAUGAUCUUCGAUGAGUCCCCAAAGAAAGAAAUUGCAGGGUGUGAUUUUGGGUGAUCUAGACCAAAACUCCAGCGCCAAUCUGUGAGAAUGCCAACUCAAAUAAAGAUGAACAAACUUCCCAAAAAUGUAACAUUGCCUUAUUAAAAAAGAUAACACGCACUGGUUGGUUUUUAUUUCGUAAAGAUACUUUUCAAAUUAUUCAAAUAAUGUCUUUUUCCUGUAUUAAUUUUUAUUGCCCGAGUUCAACAACUGCCCUUACACAUCCAUUAUAAGUGCUGGUCAUGUAAACCUUUGAUCAAGUAAACAAGCUAAACUUCUUAUCUGUGGUAAUCUCACAUAUGCUGCACGUACACAACAGGUAGAGAUUAGGUUAAGAAAAAAAAGGACAUAGGAGUUCUCCUUUAAUC